rnacentral:rRNA from 1 species
CUACGGGCCGCAGCAGUGAGGAAUAUUGCACAAUGGGGGGAACCCUGAUGCAGCAACGCCGCGUGGAGGAUGACGCAUUUCGGUGUGUAAACUCCUUUUAUAUGUCAAGAAAAUGACGGUAGCAUAUGAAUAAGCACCGGCUAACUCCGUGCCAGCAGCCGCGGUAAUACGGAGGGUGCAAGCGUUACUCGGAAUCACUGGGCGUAAAGGACGCGUAGGCGGGGUGGAAAGUCAGGUGUGAAAUCCUACAGCUUAACUGUAGAACUGCACUUGAAACUUCUAAUCUAGAGUAUGGGAGGGGGAGAUGGAAUUAGUGGUGUAGGGGUAAAAUCCGUAGAUAUCACUAGGAAUACCUAAAGCGAAGGCGAUCUCCAGGAACAUUACUGACGCUAAGGCGUGAAAGCGUGGGGAGCAAACAGGAUUAGAUACCCCAGUAGUC